GGGAAAUGCCUUAAUGAGCCAGAGAAGUUGUGUGUCGUAAGUAUUUGGGUUGUACCGAGCGCUCUCUUGCUCGUGUAGUGCAGUGCUGAGGACGUGUAAAUCCUCUGGUGUGUCAAAUUUGGGAUUUUGCCCUAGCAAGAGAGAGAGAGUGUGUGUGUGUGUGUGUGUGUGUGUGUGUUGAGCGAGUCCUGGACUGAUGCAAUAAUCACAUUAACGCCACACACUGCCCCGGUCCUCCUCCUCCUGCUCAUAUGAGAUGUCAGACUGUACAUACAGAGUUUCAUUUUGUAAAGGUGAAACAGGAUUCUUUUCUCUCUUCUAAAAGAAUUUGAUUGGCUAACGUGGUUUUUUUUUCUUUUUUUUUUGGUUUUGUUUGUAUUUCCUGAAUAAAGCAAUUGUACAGCAUGGUGUACUUUCAGUGACCAGCUUGAGGUUUUUAUUCAGAAAUGAGAAAUAAAUAGUUGUUCAAAAUCCUUGUCCUUGAAUUUUUUUUUUUAUUUUAUUAUUCUUCUCUCGUCAGUACUCCUUUUCUCCGUUCUCCUGUUUGUUUGUUUUUUUUCUUUCUUCUUUCUUUCUCUCUCGCAUUUUAGACUUCGGUUCUACCUUCAUCGGUGGCAACUCGCGGUUGUUGCACAGUAAUUCCUGUCUGUUAAAGUCCAUCGCAACCUAGCGACAGCUUCCAGAACCGCCCAUGAGAAUGACCUUGAUACGUCCUUCCGUGGUCAAAAUACUACAAUCCCAAUUCUGAAAAAGUUGCGACCGUAUGGAAAAUAGAAAAAGCUCAGUGGUUACUGAUCGGAAGGUCGUCAGGUCAAACCCCAGCACCACUAAGCUGCCGCUGUUGAGCCCUUGAGCAAGGCCCUUAAUGAAUAAAUGAAAUAAAUGUAAGUCAGUCUGGAUAAACUCCUCCACCACAUGCCGCGAUGUAAAUAUUGAGAUGUUUAUCGGGUGGGACGCGGUGCAGGACGACACUCGUUAAGGAGCUCGUAAAAAAUACACAUGGUUCAAGUUAGCCUUGCGAGAAUGUUGUGGUGCCUUUAGAAACCUCUCCAGUAUCGGCAGUUCAGGCGGAAAUGGGAGGAGCGCCAGUGGAUAUUCGCAGACUUAAGUUACGUUGGUAUGUUGGACCUCUUUAAAAGGACGCAUCCAGCUGAAGAUGGUGGGAGAAUAAGUCGAAUGAUAUUUUUUGGAUGGACAGUACAGAAAGGCUGAGGGUACAGGACUGGCGAGAAUAGAUGCAAGUCCUACGGUGGUGAUUCCUACAAUACCGCCGUGGUUAUUUCCAAUGCCGAUAGUAGACCGCCAACUUGGGAAGAAAUGGAUAACAAAAAGAUAAAUGUUCCUAAGAGAGAUUUACAGAUGGAUUGAAAGACCCUGGCACAUGACGGAAAGCGGCUUCUGAUGGCGCUGCAUUGGGUGGAGGAAAUUCAGCCAUUCAGAACAGUCACUGGCUCGGACUCGUAUUCUCCUUCGACCAAGUUUAUUAAGUGGCAAGUCUACAUCUAGACAAGACGUAUUAUAUGAUAUUCUACAAAGCAUGUUCAAAAUGAGCAUAUUUAAUAGAUCGAGCAGAUUAUUCUUAUGGGUACCAGCACGUGUUGGGAUAGAAGGAAAUAAGUAAGCUGGUCAAAUGGCUAAGAAGGCACUGAAAAACACCAACAUGGAUACAAAAAUAACACAAAGUAAAGCAGAAAUGAAAGGAGUAAUUAGAGGGGCUAUGAUUAAGAAAAGAAACGAGGAGGUAAAAGGUCAUCAUCUAUCAUCUACCAACAUUCAAAAACAAGUUGGAAAUGGAAGGAAAAACUUUGGAAGCAGGACAUGAUAAUAUCUAGACUCCGUAUUUGGUCACACAGCUCUCGAUCAGACGCUAGCUAUUAUUGCAAACAUGACUCGGGUCAUUGCAAUAAAUGUGGACUACCAGAGGCCGUUGAACAUGUACUAUUAAAGUGUGUAGCUUAUGAAAGGGAACGACUCA
ensembl:lncRNA